GAUGAACGCUGGCGGCGUGCCUAAUACAUGCAAGUCGAGCGAACAGACGAGGAGCUUGCUCCUCUGACGUUAGCGGCGGACGGGUGAGUAACACGUGGAUAACCUACCUAUAAGACUGGGAUAACUUCGGGAAACCGGAGCUAAUACCGGAUAAUAUAUUGAACCGCAUGGUUCAAUAGUGAAAGACGGUUUUGCUGUCACUUAUAGAUGGAUCCGCGCCGCAUUAGCUAGUUGGUAAGGUAACGGCUUACCAAGGCAACGAUGCGUAGCCGACCUGAGAGGGUGAUCGGCCACACUGGAACUGAGACACGGUCCAGACUCCUACGGGAGGCAGCAGUAGGGAAUCGUCCGCAAUGGGCGAAAGCCUGACGGAGCAACGCCGCGUGAGUGAUGAAGGUCUUCGGAUCGUAAAACUCUGUUAUUAGGGAAGAACAAAUGUGUAAGUAACUAUGCACGUCUUGACGGUACCGAAGCAGAAAGCCACGGCUAACUACGU
rnacentral:rRNA from 1 species